rnacentral:lncRNA from 1 species
GGGGGGGGGAAGCCGGCCCAAGAGGAAGAGUGAAGCUCUUUUUUUUUCUCUCUUUUUUUUUAACAGACUUUUCUGAUAUUUAUUUUCUUUCUUCCACAACAAAACAAGCACCAACAAAUAAAAUAAAAACAAGCAAAAAUAGUGCAGCAGCAUGAAUAAAAAAAUCAAACACGUCUCUACCUUAUAUUUAAUUCUAUUUCUUUUUGU